GAGGGGAUCUGGCAGGAGCUGAAGGAGCUGCAGCAUCAACUGUGCUCUAAACCAACCAAAUAAACAGCAAGGGAUAACAGAAGUGUAGGAUUGAUUGUGAGCUUCUCCCCCCAAACUCAGAAAAACUGCCAGGCCUAUGGUAACAUCUCCGUUUUCAGAAGCUCAGAAAAGUAAGCUGCUUGCUCAAGAAUGGACGGCUUCAAGGUGGCAGAGCUGGAAGUUUCUAACUCACUCACCUCAUACUCAGACCUGCACUGUUUUUCAAGACAGUCAAUAUUUCAGACAAGGAAUCUGAGACCUGGCUGGGAGAAGAGGACUUGCCUAAAGUUAUCCCACACAGCAAAUUAGUUGGAAAACCAGGAUAGUUGAGUAAAUAUCCUGGAGCCCAGCCAAGUAAUGAAGCCAGAAUUCAGAAAGCUGUUUUGGCUAGAUCUUGGAUUUUUACAAUAAAGGGUCUGUAAGGGAUAUUUGUGAAAAAUGUUGACACUUGACGGCUGUCCUGAUUCAUUCAGCUACCUAGGUUAUCUCUGCCUCUCUUUGACUUGUGUUUUGUCUUUUAAGAUGGCAGUCUUGCUCUUUUGCCUGGGCUGGUCUUGAACUCCUGGGCUCAAGCAGUUUUCCUGCUUUAGCCUCCUGAGUAGCUGGGGCUACAGGAGGACAUCACUGUGCCCAGCUCUCUCCGUAUCUUUGACUAGGUUAUUUUACAACCCCAUACGAUAGAAAUGAAGUUAUAGAAAACUGAUAGGAAUACAAAUAAUUAUUAUCCAUGGAAAUGCAAAUUGGAUCUAAUGGAAUGAAACUGAUUUUUUUUCCAGCAGAUAGUGACCACCUUUGUAUCCUUUUGUAAAUUCAUUUCAGCAUUCCAUAUUUGACUAAAAAUGUGUGACACUCCCAAUUUGCUUUUGAAUUCAUUGUAAUAUCUACCAAUUCCCUCAUUAAUUAAUGAGUUAAAUAAAGCCUUUGGCAUGUAUUUAUUUUGUAUCUAUAGGAGAGUCAUGAGUAUAUCUUCUUUUAAAAGGUAUUCUUCAGUAGGUCUUAGGGUGCACAAUACUUACAUCUUAUUUUCUCAUUCUACACUGUUCCCACACCUCACCCAGAAUAAAUGUAAUCUCCUGUGAGCUUCUGAACAUCAUGAAGAAUAACAGCUCAU
rnacentral:lncRNA from 10 species